rnacentral:lncRNA from 1 species
GGCGUCCCGAUCCCGGCGUGGCUUUCCCCAGUCCACGAAGUCUUCUACGGACAUAUCCUCCUGUUCCCCAAGAGGAUGGCACAGGGAGAGUUCUGAGUGGUCUCGGGCAAUGGCUGCAUUUGCUGUUGGCCUGUAAGCAGGCCAGAAGCAGAGGAAGAGAGAGAAGGUAAAACCCGCCCAUGGACCGCAAGCGUGAGAGCCAAGGCAGGACUAUGAACUGUCAAAAUUGUCUCUGACUUCUCACCAGGCCGGAGAGGAGGGAUCUAGUGCGUGAGGGCACUACUUGGUUUGGGACAAGUCAGAGGCGAAUAAAAGCUCUUCCUGCCUUGAAGAAGCUUACAGUUUUGUGGGAAAAUGAUCUGCAAUGGGAAUACAUACGAUAUGACAAAUGUUCUAUUAUGAAAAUGCAUGCCUGUAUUCAACUUAGAACAUCAAAGUAAUCUCAGAUACUAACAAGAAUGUCCAACGAAUCUCUACAUAAGUGCAGGCUUUUUUUUUUUUUUUUUUUUUUAAUGAGAAGGAUUGAAAAUACUAUCCCGUGACAGGUCAACCUUGUCUUGGAAAUCUCAGAAAUCUCAAUCUUAUCCAUAGAAAAGUCAUGACUUCUGUGCUUAUGUCCAUUUGUUCUUUAAAUACCAAACUGUCAGCUCAUAGGAACCAUUUACACACACACACUGACACACACACAAACACGCACACCCCUACUUACUGAGAUGUUCCUGGGGAGAUUCGAAGACCUGUUCCAUUGAGAAAACAAGAAUAAGCCCCUGGGGCAAAAGACUCCGCGUCUCUGGGGAACUCAGUAUCCGCGCCGCGAGCACCCAUGCCCAUUUUGAACACAACGCGACUGCUAAGGACGUGGUGUAAUCAUAUGGACCUUCACUCCCAAGAGACUCGAUUUCAGAGAAAAUCUGGGAGACAAAUUUAGAUCCCUACCCGCACCCACGCGAUCAAUAAAGCUGGGGAGACCUUUGGGGGAGGGGACAGAUGUGCUUGCAUCCGGGCCGUGCGUGCCUGCUUCACGGGUUUUCCGGGCAGCACCGGCCCGCACACGCCGGUGCACUCUUUUUCUGGAAUUCUUGAAAUAGCCGGGCCUGAGGACAGUAAGGGAGCUGAGUUGUGUCUGCUACAGACAAGCGGCGCAGAGCCUGGGGGCCAAGCCAGGGAUGCAGGGAGCGCGGCGUUAGCGGAUGACGGAUAGCUCAGGGCUAAGGCCUGGCAGGUCCUUCCUACCCCCGACCCAGUACACCCCGCAGCCCCGCCCUCGCCCCAGCACGCGAGGUGAAAGCGCGAGGCCCGGGGAUGGCGGAGAGCGUGCGCCACUAUCGGGGCGCUGUCUCUUGCCCCGCUCUCGCCCUGGGCCGGAGAACGGAGAAGGUCCGCAGGCCUCGGGCCACGGAGGGCACCAGAUCGGUCCGCUCUGCUCCGCUAACCCAGCCUGCGCCCCUCCACCCCGCCAAGGCCCUGCUGGGCGCUGCGCCGGUUGCUCGCGUCCUCUGUUGUCGCGGAGCCGCCGCCGCCGCCGCCCGCGAACCAGCAACGCCGACACCCAGCAGUUGCAGGCCCGGCGUUUGCCGCCGCGGUUUUUCCACCCAGCACUGAGGAUCAAGCCCGCUGUAGCCUGGCUGCGACUCCCCGCUUGGGAGCAGAGGCCGCCAGGGGCCUCCAGGCCGAGAGAUUCUGGAGCCUUUCCAGGGCGCGGCGGGGAGCGGGGCCUCCGGAAACCCACCCCGGGGAUGCUGGAGUCUGUCCUGCAGAGGCCGUGGCGCGGGCACUGCUGCCUGAUUUCGAAGAGGCUCCAUCAACCUACUCUCUUCCAAAGGGCUGGGCAGCCCAGCCACAGACAGGCAGCCUCUGGAUCUCAGAAGUGAGGGACGGAGUCUAUCCUGGGUUUGGUCCAGUAGAAACCCCCCACCCCCACCCCCAGAGUCUGGGAACCAGUGCUGUGCCCACAGAUGCAAAGAGAAAGAGCAUGGGUUAAAGCGCUAUUGGGAUCGGUUAGACACCACACUUUUCCAAGGAAGACAUUUUCUUCGAGAGGAACAGCAAAAGGAGUCAAUAUAAUGUUAAAAAUAUUAAGGCAGGUGCUGUGCCACAUGUUGAAGUGAUUCCAAAAGCAGAGAAAACAUGGGACUCACAUUUAAGAGGAUUAAUUGUAGCCUUUGAGUUUUUCCCAGAAAAAAAAAAAAGGCUAGCAUAUAUAUUUUCAUAUAUUUAUAUGAACAGGUAAUUAAAUAAGGAGGGAUUUUAAAAAAUUGUCUAUUUGGAUAUCGUUUUCCUUUCCAUUUGAGGAAAAGCCAAAUGCAAAUAAGGAGAAUAAUAUUUAAAGAACAUGCUUUUAAUAGAGCCUC